GCACUACAAGGGAGACUUCUUGGGCCCUGCUGGAUACUUACUAAGCAUCCAAGCAUGCUGCGGCUGUGCGAGUUGUUGCUUUGAGUGGAGCAGGGGCUGAGCAUUCUGGGAGAUCGUGAAGAGCAUUCACAGCAGAUGAAGUGCAGACUGGCAUCCAGUACUUGACUGGUGAGCUCCAGAGCCCGAGGGUUUCAUGAAGUCAUAUUGUGGUGUCUUGGUGGCUAGGAAGAACCCCUUCCCUGGAGCACCAGAUGAAGCAUAUUGAACGGAGAAAAUAAACACCCAUUUUUCAAGGUAUUUACCCUCAAGUGCCUUUUCCACUUGGAGAGGUUUAAUUCUGUGAGGACAAAGACUGUGAAGAGGCAAUCCUUCUAAGCUGGCAGGAAAUGCUCUGAGAGAUACACUUCAGUUAUCCAGUUCCCCUUAUCUCCGCUUUGCUGAGGGGGUAGUCGAAUUGGCUCUCUUUCAGUUGAUUGAGCCGACCAACAGUGUAAUUGUGUUGCUUCAAAUCCCACCAAAAAAAAAAAAAUUUGGCCGUGCUUGGAAUCUGAAACCCUGUCUAUGAAGUCGGCAUUAAUCACUUAUCAGACUGGAGAGCUUCAAAUAGCAGCUUAAUCUUAUAAAAGCAGAAGUCUCCUACUUUAUUACCAGAAAUGAUGGGCUGAUGGUGUCGGCCCCAGGAUCACCGUGUAGAGCGUGGCUAGUGUCUGCAGACUUCCACCAGGGGCUCAAAGCCAGUGUAAACACACCCAUCUUUAGAAGCCCCGAAGGCCUUACACUUCACAACUACCUUCAUAAUCCUUUGUAGAGGACUCGCUACAGAACACUUGCUGAGAAAGAGAGACUCAAGUCAAGACUUAGGAUUCAUUUGGUAAACACUUCAACUAACCUGGCUGACAAACAUCCAUGUAUAUGAUAGGUCUGGAAUGAGAGCUUUGGGUUUUUUUAAGCACUUUUUCUGGACCAGACACAUGAUGUGUAAAUUUUCUCUAAUUCUUCUAAUACUCUUCAAUGGAAGCAUUUGGACUAUCACCAUCAUCAUCAUCAUCAUCAUCAUCAUCACCAUCAUUGUUAUUAUUAUUAAUGAGAAGGGCAUUAUUUAGAGAGACAGACAGACUAAUCCCUGGCACAAGCAAAGGAACUGCAGAAAGAAUAUUUCCAGCUGCAGGCCUGAUUGUCAUGGGCAUAGUGCUUCUUGUCUACCAAGCUGGAAAUUAUUAUGCCCAUGUCCCUUACUUGUGUUUUUUCCCAUACCUCCAUGCCUCAGAGGCCACAUUCAUCUCCGUGUUUCUUCUGCAUCUUACCACCCUUCAAGGGGCUUCAGCCCAUCAUGGUUCUCUCUAUUCGCUUUCAUUCAUAAGCCAAUUGUUUAAGACCUAUCUGGGUGGUGGUGGGGAAGGGGAAGGGGCUCACUGGAAAGAUGUCUCAUUGAGUAAAGGCUCUUGUCGCCCAGCCUGACGACCUGAGUUCUAUCCCCAGAACCCAAUGGUGGAAGGUGAGAGCUGACUUUCACCAGGUUGCCCUCUGACCUACUCAUGAACUACACACACCACCUCCAAUAAAUAACUUUAAAGUUUUAAAAA